AUGGGCAUAAGCAACUCACACUGGUUAGCUUUUGUCAGAUUUCGUCGUUUCCGCAGCAAAAUUUCUUAGUGUUGAUGUUGAUAGCUUCUGGGUUGGCAAACUGGCAGUUCACUCUAGUCUUACUGGGUUGGGCAAGUCCUUGCCCCUAGAAAAUUGGGGAUAGCUUUGGCCAUGGGAGGAGCAAGAACACUACGCAGUCGUAAGCUCUGUUUUUUGUUUUGUUUUGUUUUGUUUUGUUUUCGGCACCAUUAUGUACGAUGAAGACUUACAGCCACUGCUAAUACAGCAUAGGGGACACUUUGAGGAGCCCUAGUAUCAUUGUUUGAAAUCAUUGUACAGGGAACUGCAGGGGUGAACACCAUUGUACCAAUCCCCGGGCCAGUGUCUCAUUUCCUAACAGAAUCAUCCCAUUCUUGUUCACUCUUCAGUCAUCCCAAGCCAAAAGGGAAAAUUCGAAACCCACUGUGACACCCCAACCCUAAUUUCCAACCUUUGGAGGACUCACCUGGGGCAGAAGGGAGAAAGGGCUUUGCUGAAGUCUCAGGCUGCCGAGAGCCAUGUAUGGGCAUAGGAGCAAGCUGAUGGCAUGGCUCUUGACAAGGUUUUCUAUAGGGCAGCAGCUGCUGCUCCCAGGGGAACCCUCUCCUGUUGCCUCCGCAGUCUAUUCUGGGGUGGAAACACCAUUCUCUAUUAUUUCUCUCACAUACAUGUGGAUUUCUAAUAUCAAGUUAUGUGACUGCCUACCACUUAAGGCCUACAAAACCACAUGGGAGUUUCUUUAUUGCGUAUGCAGCCAGUCAACAUGAAUGGGACCCUAGAAACUGUGAGGAGCAGGAUUCUCUAAGGUGCUCUUAGAUACGGUGUCACUUCCACAUACAAGCACAAUUCUCCCAGUUAAGGGGCUGGAAGACAAGCGGGGCAACUGGUUUUGAAAAGCCCGCUGGCGUGCCAGAGGGGGUGUUUGCCCACACCCUCCUUGAAUUUAACUGCCACAAUCUAUCCGCAGAUGUGUUUUGUUCUAUUUCUUGUUUUUCACUAGCGUUUGCGUUGCUUCCUCUGAAGCCAGAGGGUGAAAGGCCCUAGCAAAGUUAGUUAUCAGUCAACUGAUGAUAACUGUGAUCCUUAAAGAUGAAUUCCCAGCCUGAGGUGACACACAGAGGUUCAGCAGACGUCUCAGGAUCUGUCAUAUGUCAUGUUGCUUGGUGUGAAGAUGGAAGAACAAAGUCCACAUCAGUUUCUGCUCCUUCAAACAGUGUGUCGAUAUGAAACAUUGAGAUUUGGCAGAAACAUGUGCCUAGUUUGCAGCACCAAAUACUGGUCUUCUCAGAAGUGUUUCUGUUUUUUUGUUUUUGUUUUUGUUUUUGUUUUUGUUUUUGUUUUGUUUAAUUUCCUCUUCUGGCAUCCCAAUUUGGAUCAUUUCCUCUCUUUCUUUCCUGGAGAAACAGGAUGGCAGGUGCUGGAGCCCAGAGAGGGGGUCACCCUCCAGCUAAAAUGAUUUAAAUGGAAAGGAGAAUGACAGCAAAGCCUCACGUGAACUUUAAUGACCUUAUCAAUGACCUUUACUAACUGACUCUUGGUACCCGGAUUGUUGAGAGGUGAGUGGGACUAAAAGCCAGGAUCAAGAUCAGGUUGCUCCACACAUUUGCAGAUCAGGAACCCCGGGAAUAUGAGUUAGACCCAGAAAGUAUUGAACUGGACAUUGAAUGAAGCUUGAGGCCAUGCAUUGAUAACAUUUUUAGAGUCUGUUACAUUAUUUUCUCAAAAGGAACACAUGUUUACUACAAACCAUUUAGAAAAUACCAAUAACCAAACAGAAGGGAAAUGUCUGGAACCUUCCAGUUGUUUAAUUCUGUAGAAACUGUUCACGAAAGGCUGAAUGAGUGGGGACAAGUCACAGAGAUCUCGCCAUGGUUAGCACCAGGGACAAGUCUGGCUCUAAUGUAUGUUUUAUGAAGUCUGAUUAGCUUUGAAAUGCAUCUUUGCCAGCUGAACUUGUCAUGCACUAAACUUCCCAUUGAUCAUUAGAGUGUCUACGAUUAAGUGGAAAAGGUGGUCAACCAUUUGGAUGUUUGACUUUCACAACAUCAAGCAUUGGCCAUUGGGCGUAUCUGGGCAUUGGUAUGGAAUAAACAGGAUACUCAGUGAAACAUCCAAACUAUUGACUGGAUUUUUCCCAUGGGGCAUCUGUCUAAGAGUCACAGAUCUGAGAAAUAGAAGGACCAGGUCCGUGUGGAUGCUCCUAGUGCGUUCAAAUAACCCUUGAAUUCACCAGGUCUCAUUGCAUUUAUUUAAAGAUGGAGCCCAUUGUCCCCCCUCCUCCUCAGCUCACCCAUGGAACUAGAAAUUCACAAACCUGAAGCUGAACCACAGGACAAGAAAUUAAACAGCAACGGCCACAUGGCCUCUUUUUUCACAGGUUUUGCAUUGAAUGUUUUAGAACUUUAUUCCCCCGCCCCCUCACCCAUGUAUACCAAAACUGGUUUUAUUUUCAUUUUCCUAAAUUAUUUUCUGAUACAAUAAACUGUUAACUGUUUAUUUAUACUUUUACAAGGAGCACUUGUUAUUUUUCAAAAGGAAAACAAAAGCCUCUCUGUUUUCAUGUUCUCCGUAUAUCUAUACCACAGCUGUCUCUAUAGACGUAUUUAUAUAUCAUCUUCUUGAGAGAGUUAACCUCCUGUAGUUUAAUGUUGUGUUUCUUUUCUUUAAAUGCAUAUCAUAAUCAUGUUAAUAAACAAAAAUGACACAAUAUAUGUGGGUGGGGGGCGGGGGGCAGGUGGCUGGGUGUGAUUUCCGUACAGGUGAACUUUUAUUCCAGAUUUUUUUAAGUUGUUUCUGUAUUUCAAAGCUAUGUAUUUGGAAAACAUUGUAAAUGAAACACCUAUAUUAACUUUCCUGUGUAUAUUUAGUACUCUGAUGUUGCUAUUAAAAAAAAAAACAUAAUAUGAAAAAAAAAAAAAAGA
rnacentral:lncRNA from 1 species